rnacentral:rRNA from 1 species
GAUGAACGCUAGCGGGAGGCCUAACACAUGCAAGCCGAGCGGUAGAGUUCCUUCGGGAACUUGAGAGCGGCGUACGGGUGCGUAACACGUGUGCAACCUACCUUUAUCUGGGGGAUAGCCUUUAGAAAGGAAGAUUAAUACCCCAUAAUAUAAUGAUUGGCAUCAAUUAUUAUUGAAAACUCCGGGGGAUAGAGAUGGGCACGCGCAAGAUUAGAUAGUUGGUGAGGUAACGGCUCACCAAGUCAGUGAUCUUUAGGGGUCCUGAGAGGGAGAUCCCCCACACUGGUACUGCGACACGGACCAGACUCCUACGGGAGGCAGCAGUGAGGAAUAUUGGACAAUGGGUGAAAGCCUGAUCCAGCCAUCCCGCGUGAAGGAUGACGGUCCUAUGGAUUGUAAACUUCUUUUGUACAGGGAUAAACCUACUCUCGUGAGGGUAGCUGAAGGUACUGUACGAAUAAGCACCGGCUAACUCCGUG